CCUACGGGUGGCUGCAGUGGGGAAUAUUGCACAAUGGGCGCAAGCCUGAUGCAGCCAUGCCGCGUGUGUGAAGAAGGCCUUCGGGUUGUAAAGCACUUUCAGCGGGGAGGAAGGCGUUAAGGUUAAUAACCUUGUCGAUUGACGUUACCCGCAGAAGAAGCACUGGCUAACUCCGUGCCAGCAGCCGCGGUAAUACGGAGGGUGCAAGCGUUAACCGGAAUUACUGGGCGUAAAGCGCACGCAGGCGGUCUGUCAAGUCGGAUGUGAAAUCCCCGGGCUCAACCUGGGAACUGCAUUCGAAACUGGCAGGCUAGAGUCGUGUAGAGAGGGGUAGAAUUCCAGGUGUAGCGGUGAAAUGCGUAGAGAUCUGGAGGAAUACCGGUGGCGAAGGCGGCCCCCUGGACAAAGACUGACGCUCAGGUGCGAAAGCGUGGGGAGCAAACAGGAUUAGAUACCCUAGUAGUC
rnacentral:rRNA from 1 species